UUGAAACCUGGGAAGCAAGAGUAAAGGAAGGCCAAGAAAACUGAAGAAUUUCACCUGCGAACAGACAAAGAUGUCAAAUAUCUCACAACAUGAUUGGACAUACACGAUGGAUAGAAUCUUUCAGAAGCUGGAUGACACUCAGUACAAGGAAAUGGUGGAUUUUUUUGAUGAGCAACCUGAAUUUACCUCACCGGCCAAACUCACUGCCAAAUUUAAGAAGGAGCUUCCGGAAAAACUAAAUCAGCUGUUUGGCAUAGAUCGAUCCAUCAACCUGGUCAACGAAGCAAUGAAUAUGAUACCGAGGAAUGACCCUGGUGUCCAGGACCUACUGCGUCCAUUUGUGGUGAAACUACGACCACAGGGUCUGAGAAUGAGGAGCCGACCUGAG